AGCUAUUUAGCUUAAAAAAAGCAUGUAUUUUGAAAAUAUAAGAUAGAAAAUUUUUAAUGGCUU
rnacentral:tRNA from 1 species